UAGGGAAUCUUCGGCAAUGGACGAAAGUCUGACCGAGCAACGCCGCGUGAGUGAAGAAGGUUUUCGGAUCGUAAAACUCUGUUGUUAGAGAAGAACAAGGACGUCAGUAACUGAACGUCCCCUGACGGUAUCUAACCAGAAAGCCACGGCUAACUACGUGCCAGCAGCCGCGGUAAUACGUAGGUGGCAAGCGUUGUCCGGAUUUAUUGGGCGUAAAGCGAGCGCAGGCGGUUUCUUAAGUCUGAUGUGAAAGCCCCCGGCUCAACCGGGGAGGGUCAUUGGAAACUGGGAGACUUGAGUGCAGAAGAGGAGAGUGGAAUUCCAUGUGUAGCGGUGAGAUGCGUAGAUAUAUGGAGGAACGCCAGUGGCGAAGGCGGAUCUCUGGUCUGGAACUGAAGCUGAGGCUCGAAAGCGUGGGGAGCAAACAGG
rnacentral:rRNA from 1 species